CGAGAUUAAUUCCAUCUCGUCGGUUGCCGCGUCCUCUUUGUCGAUCAACUCCUUGAUGAAGGUCAAGUUUUUCUCGUCCUUUGUCAUCUCUGCGGUCUUGAAGUCCUUGCUCGCAGCCGAAGUCCAGGGCUGCGUCGAUAUCGAUCAAACACUCUCGGAAUAGCUGCUUGCGAUAGAGAGCCGCUGACCGGUUGGCAAGAGCUAAGGAUUUGGACUCUCUGCUCUUGGCGUAGGCGAGGCUCAUCGAGUACUUUUCGAUAGCUUCCUCGUCGUCGCCUGAGACGAAGCAUUGAUUUCCUGUAAAAUCGAACGAGUGAUCAGUGGUGAUUACAGUAAAAUGUAUUUCAAUUUUUAAAUAAAAUUUUUACAGCUCUGCACGUCUUUUUUAUUUCGCGCAGCAGUCUUUUUAAAAUCAAACAGCAGACCUCAUCCCUUGCACUUAGUUUUUUUUUUUAUUUUUAUAGUAGUUAUGCAUUUUUAUAAGUACUUCUCAUUAAGUGUAAAUGUCCUGCGUUUACAAAAUAAUAAAUCAUGUGCUGUGUAUGUUUUUACAAUAAAAAUUGCGUCGUUUCAGUAUGAAAACUAUUUUUCCUUCUGUAUUCAUUCCCUCCAUGCAUACAUAAUGCCUUGUAUAACAUUCGACAGACAGGCUGCGCUCACUUGAAGCUGUCUAAUUUUAGUAAUAAGAAUUGUUUACCAUGUACCUUCUUCUCUGAAAAUAGCGGAGUCUUCGUCGUUCUUGGUGUCGGCGUCCAUAAGUGGCAACUGUGAUUUAACCAUAUUAUUCAAAACAUGCUCAACCAAUGCCUCACAUUCCUUUUGUAAUCCGUAACCGCCAUGAGAAUUGCUUCUCUUCACAGCCAUAAUCAAUUCCUUUGCCAAAUCCAUUUUUUAAUAAUUUCACUCUUGAAGAAAAAGAAGACAAGUAAGUAUGGUAUUUAACUGAGUUUUGGCAAAUUUAUUCAACGCGAGUCUCGUGCGUUUUAAGCACUGUAACUACUCGUGUAAUUUGAUAUUUUGUUGCAACAAGUUACGAAUAAUAAAGUAUUCGAUAGAACGUUAAAAUAUUAACAAUUUUGAAUGUUCUGCCGCUUAUGGCACACUGUUGACUGUGCCCGAAGACGCGGCUCAUGCGUGAUUGUGCACUAAAUUAGCUAAGGCUAUUGAUGUACUAAGAAGCUAAAGCAACGAGGUGAGACUAAAAUUACUCCAACAUGUAAGAGGGAAAGGGUUCGUGCAAUGCUUUCAUCUGCGAGUGUUGCAGCCGCAGAUAGUAUAAGCUUUCACUAGUAGCGUAUACAUGAUUUAUAUUCUCUUACGAAACAUAAUAUUUUCAUAAUUUAUUUGUUACUAAUAUGUUUUAUUUUUUAUGGUAUGAACAGUUGGAUCAUAAAAACAAUUUGCUUAACAUAAAAAUUAAAAAAAUAAUAAUUACUUACCACUAUUAUAAAAGAACCGCUAUAAUUUUGCGAAAUAUCCUCGUAAAAAUAAACUUUGUAUGUACUCGCAGCAAAGUAGUACAGUUCUUACAAUUUUAAUCUAAAUAUCACUUAAAUUUACCGAAAAUUUUGAUACAAGUACACUGAAGUCAUUUUUUACGAGGACAUAAGUACUCAAAAUUAUUCUUUAGAAUUAACUGAUGACUUACAAAAAACAUAACUUUUGCAUCGUGCUCUUUAGAAGAUGACAUUUUUAAUUGUAAGUUGCACAAUAUCGGUGCACGGCUUUAUAUAGCAUCAAAAGUACUAAUUGAUCUAUAAUCAACAUCAAUGCUUGAAACAAUUAUGACUUACAAGCAAAUCAAAUCACAAAAUAUAAUUUUAAUUCGCCGUCCAGGUAAGUUAGCAUAAGAAAUGAAAAUCAAUUGAAAAUUUCGUCGCGUGUUGUUAGUUAAACAAAACAUUUAUUAAUAAAAUUUAAUUCUAUAAUAAAAAAAUAAUUUUUAAACAACAUUGUUUAAAUGCAAUUUAUUUAUUCAAUUUUAUUUCUCAUGUACACAAUAUAUUUUCAUCGUGGAAUUCGACCUAUAAUCAUAUACAAAUAUUCUUAAAAAUAUUGAAAAUUACUAUACAAAUGCAUUCCUACAAACUAAAAUGUGAUUAUGUAAUCAAUUUAUAAAUGAAAAUUUUAUCAUGAGUUUAAGACUAUAAUAUUAGAUUUAAUUUUGGCAAUGAGCUGUCCGAGCAGUUAUAAUUAAAUAAAUAUAAUUUUAAAUUAAAGAUAUAUUUAAAAAAAAAUAGAACUAUUCAAAGAGUAGCGUGAUAAAAUACAGUAAACAUGCGUACGUAUUCACAAAUGGUCUAAAGCCAAAUAUUAUGAAUGUUCGAUUUUCGAAAUAUUAAUUAUAUAAAUCAUUAACAGCUGUUUUCAGUGCAUAAAUUGGCGUACAACGUAUUUUUAUUGAUAAAAUAUAUGAUCAAAAUCCAUAAGUAUGCAAAAAUGUAGUUGUGCUCAUCAAUGUAUUGAUGUGUACAAGAUUUCGUUUGUGAGCAUUCAGUAAAGCUGAUAUACAGUAUGUGAUAUAUAAAAGAUUUAAAAUAUAAGAACGUAAUAUUGUAUGUACAAUUAUGUAUUUUCAUAAACUGAUAUCUCAGGAUAUUUUGUUAAU